rnacentral:lncRNA from 1 species
CUAAGUAUAAAUCGGUUCCAUAAAUUAUAAUUUUUUUUCUUACUAAAAAAUUCGGUUCAAUUUAAAAUUUUCCUAAAACUGAACCAUACGACCUGAACAAUAUCUCUCAUUACUUUAUGAAUCACCAUGGAGGAGGAAGUCUACUAUGUCACACUUAUAUCAAAUCAUCAAUAACCAGCAAAUCAUGUCUCUCUAUUUGAGUGAAAAGUAUACUAAAAAUAUUUUUCUAAUAACCAGAUGAAACGGGUGAAUCUAAGAAGAACAAUAUGAUUGGUUAGAGACACCGUAUCAGUAUUAUAACUGAUGCAUUCUAAAUAUUUUACCAUA